UACGAAGGGGGCUAGCGUUGUUCGGAAUUACUGGGCGUAGAGCGCGCGCAGGCGGCUAUCCAAGUCAGUGGUGAAAGCCCGGAGCUCAACUCCGGAACUGCCAUUGAAACUGUUUAGCUUGAGGACGAGAGAGGUGAGUGGAAUUCCCAGUGUAGAGGUGAAAUUCGUAGAUAUUGGGAAGAACACCGGUGGCGAAGGCGGCUCACUGGCUCGUUUCUGACGCUCAGGCGCGACAGCGUGGGGAUCAAACAGG
rnacentral:rRNA from 1 species